UUCUCUUCACUCCUUCAAACUCUCUUGCCAGCACCUCCAUAUCACCAUUUCCGCCAUCAUUUUUCCGACAAGAUCACCAGAAAAUUCUUGGGAACCCAAAAAUACCUUCACAUCCUUUUUUUGAGGUUCUAGUUAAUCUCCUUGGAGCUUGGAGAAUUAGGGAUUUUGCGGUUGCGAGGUUAGUGCCCUUUCACUUUGGAUGACGCGUUCUUCCCUGCUGUCCAUGGGAGGAAGAGGUUCCUUGAUUAUGUGUGGGUGAGGCUGCAGCCCAUAGGGCCAAGAGACCACAUGCAAGAGAGGUCCUAUUUGACGCGCUCUCUCUGCUGCCCAUGGAGGGAGAGAAAAAGCUUGAGGGUAUGGGUGAGGCUGCUGUCCAUGGGUCCAAGAGUCUGCAUACUAGAGAGGACAAUAUCAUGCCAGUUGUGAAUGGGUGGAUCCCCUGACCGGUCUAUGUGAUAGUAUGGUAUAUUUAUGAUAAAUUACCCUAUGUUAGAUAUUAUGGCUUUGGAAAUUAUUUUGUUGGUACUUACAGAUUAUAGUAUAUAGU